AGCACUUCCUCUCCCACGAGGAGAGCCUCCCCUCCUCUGCUCCCGGAGGAAGGGGGCACAGUGAGAUCCGGGCUUUGGGGUUCGAGUCUUAACCUGGCACCACAGGGGCGGCUCAGAAAUCCAGGAACCACCGAAAAGCCACACAAGUGUCCUCGUGAGAGAUGAGCAGUAAUACAGGGGAAACACCUGACACACGUGAACAUAAGUGCACAGAAAUUAACAAGACAUAUUAAAAUUGUACUUCUACUCGGAGCUGUCCUAUUUUUUAGAGGUUAUUUCC